CUAAGGAAUUAUACGGAAACUACACGAUUUGUCUUUUACUUUGUUCAGUUUUGAGAGGUCUACUCUCAAGAAAAGUUGUUCAUUGAAAACUGGAUAGUUGAAGUAAUUUUAAAUAAACCGAGAACACCGCGUUGAAUUUGACAGUAGAAAAGAAACUUUCUCUUACAAUUCAAUUGCUUUUUCUUGAUCUAACUUCUAUCGCUAGAAGAAGAUCAAAACCCAACCGUAAGGUUGAUGA
rnacentral:misc_RNA from 1 species